rnacentral:pre_miRNA from 1 species
UCCAGCGUUUUGACCGUCCGUCUUAUUUAAAAAUUUUAUAAAAAAAUUAAAAAUAUUAGUCACACAUAAAGUACUAUUCAUGUAUUAUCAUCUGAUAACAAUACAAAUACUAAUCAUAAUUGUUUUUUAAAUAAGACGAACGGUCAAACGUUGAGCAUGAACAGU